UACUAGGCCAUGUGGCAAGGGCCUGGUUGGGGACCUCCAGGAGCUGAGAGCAUCCUCUGGACAACAUGGAAAAAGAAAAUGGUGACCUCAGCCCUAUAGGUAGAAGGAAUUGAAUCCUGUCAACAAUGAUCCUCAUCACUCACUACAGAUGUUACUUUAAGACAUUCUGGAGCAGCGUCAUGUGCAGGAACAAUGAGGAAGUGAGUGCUUUUGUAAUUCCUGAACGACUGUGUCUUACAUUUAUUAAGGGAUUCAUGGGAAAUAUGACUGAAUAGGAACAGCUCCAGUCUGAAGCUCCCAGUGAGACCAACAUAGAAGGCAAUCUGGGUGUAAUGAAAGAUGUAGACUAACAGAAACACUCAUACCUUUCUGGUGACAAUAAAACUUUGUACAUUUAUUUUGGAAAACCCU
rnacentral:lncRNA from 1 species